GGCUAUGGCGGGGCGGGGCGGUGGGGGCCUCGUGCCCGCCGGCUUUGUCUAGCAACCGGUUUUCGAGCCACGCUCUGCCCGCCACCUUU
rnacentral:antisense_RNA from 1 species